GACGUAGGGGGCGAGCGUUGUCCGGAUUCAUUGGGCGUAAAGCGCGCGUAGGCGGCCGCGCAAGUCGGAUGUGAAAACCCGGGGCUCAACCCCGGACGUGCAUUCGAUACUGCGUGGCUCGAGACAGGUAGGGGAGAUCGGAAUUCCUGGUGUAGCGGUGAAAUGCGCAGAUAUCAGGAGGAACACCGGUGGCGAAGGCGGAUCUCUGGGCCUGUUCUGACGCUCAGGCGCGAAAGCUAGGGGAGCGAACAGG
rnacentral:rRNA from 1 species